UAUCAGAUCAUAUUCUUGAAUAAAAAGCACAGAAAGUACAGAAACUUUGGAUGAUUUCAUUUCAUUUCAUUAUUUGUAUAAAAUAUGGUUGGAACUCUUUAUUCACUUUCAUUCUGUAACAAGGCGGCCUUUUGCGGUCGGAUUUUACAGUGAGGACGAAAAGCUGAGGCAGUCAGGUGGAAACAGCAGUGGUUUAUUCUUCACACAGCAUCAACAACACUUCACAGGUGAAACUGCAGCCUUAAAUAGUCCCAGCUGUGACCGACCAAACCACCUUUAAUUCACAGGGGAGUCUCAAUUCAUCAAUCUCCACCUAUUUAAAUAAAAUACCUUUUACUAAAUACAAAUAUUUCCACUUUUUAUAAAUAUUUUGUGUUUUAUCAUUACAGUACACCAUAAUGAAACACCACAAAACCCAUAAACAAUCUCCUCCCCGCCCCACACACUUUUCAAUGGCCUCUCCCGGAAACUAUAUGUGGUGUCUGGACCCCUGGCGCGGUAUUUGUCCAAACACCCUGGAGAGGACACAGAAAAGACAGGCAACCACCUCACCUCUCAAUGAGGAGCAGCUGUGCAGAGCCCAGAACAAAAGGCUACAUGCUAAUCACUAAAAAUGCUCAAUAAAUACAAUUAAGACUU